GUUUUCGAAGGUUGUCAGGGGCCUAGUUGCUGCUGAUUUUACUGUUGGGUUGUUUAAGAGGGCAUGUAGUUGGUGUUGUGUUAACCAGGGCAUUUGGGUGUCUUCUAGUUUGUCUUGUAUUUCUUGUGUUGACAAGGGUUUGUUAUUUUUAUAAAAGUCUAUUAGGCGAUAUAAGCCUUUGGUUUGCCAGGUUUUUAUCUGGAGGUUUUGUGCUGCAUGGUGGAAUAAUGGGUGGUACGCCAGGGGGAUUAGUGGGGAUGGGGUUGGGGAUAGUUUGCCUAUUUGUGUUUUCCAUGCUUUGAGCAUGGUCUGUGUGUACCUGUUAAGUGUUGUGGGAAUUUUCUUUAGUUUGUUUGGGAGGAAUGGGUAUGUUGUGGUGCAGGUAUUUUCAAUUGUGUCCCUCUCUAGGUGUACCCAUUGUUUUGUCUCAUCUUCUAGUAUAUAUGGGAUUAUAUGGCGUAUUUGGUUGGCAUUGUAAUAUGCUUCUAUGUUGGGGAUUCCCCAUCCUCCUUCUGAGGUGGGGAGGUGCAGGUAUUUGAGGCUUAUUCUUGGUUUUUUAUGUGAGAAGAUGAAAGAGUGUAGUUUUCUCUGCCAACUGCGAAGUUGGGUUGAGGGGAUCCAGAUUGGGAGGGUUUGGAAUAGGUAGGUUAGUUUUGGGAGUGUGAUCAUUUUGAUCAUGGCUAUUUUGUCUGAGAGAGUGAAAUUCAUGUUAUUCCAUCUCUUUAGGUCUUUGUUAAUUUGUCGCCACAGGGGCUUGUAGUUGUGGAGGUACAAUUUAUUGAGGUUUCUGGUUAUUUGUACCCCUAGGUAUCUGAACUUGGUGUGGCAAAGUUUUAUUUUGGUGACCUUCGUGAGUUCUUUUUGGGUGUGAGGAGGGGUGUUGAAGCACAUAGCUUCUGACUUUGUAAAAUUUACCUGUAGGCCCGACACCAUUGCAAAUGUGUUGAGUUCUCUGAUUAGGGAGGUUGCUGUGCUUAUGGGGUCUGGUGUUGUGACCAUUAGGUCAUCUGCAAAGAGCCCUAAUUUAUAGGUUCUGCCUUUUAUUUCCACUCCCUUGAUGUCUGUGGCUGCUCGGAUGCUGAUUGCUAAGGGUUCCAGAGCCAGGAUAAAUAAGAAGGGAGACAGUGGGCAUCCUUGUUUCGUGCCUCUUUGGAUAGCUAUAGUAUUAGAAUCCAUAUUGUUAGUUCUGCAUUUUGCUGAGGCUUGGGAGUAUAUUUGUUUGAGAAUUUGUAGGAAGUUGGGGCCAAAUUUCAUGUUAGUUAGUACUGCUAAUAUGUAUUUCCACUCUAAGCAAUCAAAGGCUUUGAGGAUGUCUAGGGACAUAAUUGUCAAUGGGAGUUUGGCUGCCUUGCUGUGUUCGAUCAGGUUCAGUAGUUUCCUGAUGGGGUCUGUUAUAUUGCGGCCAGGGACAAAGCCAGUCUGGUCUGGGGCUACUAACUUGUGUAGGAAGAUUUUUAGGCGGUUGGCCAAGAUUGAUGUGAAUAUCUUGUAGUCUUGGUUUAUUAAUGAGAUUGGGCGGUAUGAUUCUACUUUGAGGCUGUCUUUUAGUGGUUUUGGGAUGGAGACUAUUUUGGAGUGGGUCCAGGUUUUGGGGAUGGGGCCCCUUUUAUGAUGUCGUUGAAUAGGCGGGUCAUGUAGGGCAUCAAGGGUUCUUUGAAUUUCCUAUAGAAUUCUGCUGUGAAGCCGUCUGGGCCUGGGGCUUUGUGUGGUUUCAGGUUUUUGAGGACCGCAUCUAUUUCCUCUGGGGUGAUAGGGCUGUCCAUGAAUUCCUGUUCCUCAUCAGUUAGGGUAGGCAUGGACAGUCCUGCUAGAAAUUUUUGAUUUCCUUCUCUGGUGGGUUAUGGGAGGUGUAUAGGUUGGAGUAGAAUUCUGCAAAUUCUGAGUUUAUUUCUUCGGGGAGAAUGUUAUGUUGCCGUCUUUUUGGUGAUGCAGUGUAUUCUUGUUUUGAGUGCUUUUUUCCUGCAUCUAUUUGCUAGUAAUCUGGAGUUUUUCCCCCAUAUUCGUAGAAACGUUGUUUAGAGUAUAGAAUGUUGAUCAUUGUUUUGUUAAUUUCUAGGGAGUCUAGUUCUCUCCUUUUUUGUUCCAUAAGUUUGAGGAGUUUUUUAGAUCCUGUUUGUUUGUAGCGUGAUGAGAGGGCUGUGAUGUCUUGUUCUAUUUUGCUAAUUUUUGAGGAGGUUUGUUUUUUAAGGAAUGUUUUCUCUUUAUGCAAGCUCCUCUGGUGACCGCUUUCAUUGCGUCCCAUAGGAGGGGGGUUGUUAUAUUGUUUACAUCGUUUUCCUUGAAGUAGUUUUGGAGGGUUUUUGUGAGACUCUCUCUAAUUUGUUUGUUUGUAGUUAGGAUGGGACUGAAGGACCAUGAUGGGGUGGUUUGUGUUCCUUCUCCUAUUUUAACGAUGACUUCUACUGGGGCGUGAUCUGUGAUUUUAAUGUUACCUAUGUUUGUUGAUUCCACUGAGGGGAUCAGACCCUGUGUGAGUAGAAUGCUGUCCAGUCUGGAUACUGUAUCAUGGCGUCCCGAUUGGAAUGUAUGGCUGAUGUCUCCCGGGUUUUGCUCACCCCAAAUGUCGUAGAGACCCCUGCUUUUUAGCAUUUUUAGUAACUUGUAAGGGUUCCUAGUUGUUGGGGGUUUCCUUCGGAGGAAGGUUGCCCAUGGGGUUGUAGGGUGGAUAUCUUUCAGGGCUAUGCCUUUCAUAUUUAGAUUGAGGUCCCCUCCUAGGAUUGCUUCCCCUUCAGAGAAGGAGAGGAAUUUGUUUAGUGUCUUCUGGAAGAAUUCUAAUUGUUUCGUGUUUGGGGCAUAUAUGGAGCCAAUUGUCAGUUUGAUUUUGCCAUCUAGUGUCCCUUUAGCGAAAAUGAAUCUGCCUUUUUGUCCUUGAGGACUGUUGUGGCAGUGAAGUUCAGGUCUCUACUGAGUAUUAUGGCUACACCACGAGCUUUCCCUGAGCCUCGUGCGACCCACUGUUGACUGAAGCGGGGGUCGCUCAGGAGUUUGCUGCCUUUGGGUGGGUUGUGUAUUUCUUGUAGGAAGGUGAUGUGUGGUUUCAUGGUGUUUAUGUAUGAGGUGA
rnacentral:lncRNA from 1 species